rnacentral:rRNA from 1 species
GGUUUAGGUCUACGGCUCAGUUGAACGCUGGCGGGAUGCUUUACACAUAAGUCGAACGGCAGCACGGACUUCGGUCUGGUGGCGAGUGGCGAACGGGUGGUAAUGGCAUCGGAACGUUCGCACAAUGUAGCGGGGGAUAACUACGCGAAAGCGUAGCUAAUACCACGCAUACGCCCUUCGGGGGAAAGCGGGGGACCUUCGGGCCUCGCACUAUUAGAGCGGCCGAUAUCGGAUUGGCUAGUUGGUGGGGUAACGGCUCACCAAGGCGACGAUCCGUAGCUGGUUUGAGAGGACGACCAGCCACACUGGGACUGAGACACGGCCCAGACUCCUACGGGAGGCAGCAGUGGGAAUUUUGGACAAUGGGGGAAACCCUGAUCCAGCCAUCCCGCGUGUGCGAUGAAGGCCUUCGGGUUGUAAAGCACUUUUUGGCAGGAAAGAAACGGCACGGGAUAUUACCCCUGAUGCAACUGACGGUACCUGCAGAACAGCACCGGCUAACUACGUGCCAGCAGCCGCGGUAAUACGUAAGUGCAAGCGUUAAUCGGAAUUACUGGGCGUAAAGCGUGCGCAGACGGUUCCGGAAAGAAAGAUGUGAAAUCCCAGAGCUUAACUACGGAACUGCAUUUUUAACUACCGAGCUAGAGUGUGUCAGAGGUGGAAUUCCGCGUGUAGCAGUGAAAUGCGUAGAUAUGCGGAGAAGGUGCCGAUGGCGAAGGCAGCCUCCUGGGAUAACAUGACGCUCAUGCACGAAAGCGUGGGAGCAAACAGGAUUAAGAUACCCUGGUAGUCCACGCCCUAAACGAUGUCAACUAGCUGUUGGGGCCUUCGGGCCUUGGUAGCGCAGCUAACGUGAAGUUGACCGCCUGGGAAUACGGUCGCAAGAUUAAAACUCAAAGGAAUUGACGGGACCACACAAGCGGUGGAUGAUAUAUGAUUAAUUCAAAUGCAACGCGAAAAACCUUACCUACCCUUGACAUGUCUGGAAUCCCGAAGAGAUUGUUGGAGUGCUCGCAAGAGAACCGGAACAGGUGCUGCAUGGCUGUCGUCAGCUCGUGUCGUGAGAUGUUGGGUUUAAGUCCCGCAACAGGCGCAACCUUAUCAUUGAUUGCUACGAAAGGGCACUCUAAUGAGACUGCCGGUGACAAACCGGAAAGGUGAGGAUGACGUCAAGUCCUCGCGAAAGCCCUUAUGGGCAGGGCUUCACACGUCCUUGUACAAUGGUCGGGACAGAGGGUCGCCAACCCGCGAGGAGCCAAUCCGAACCCGAUCGUAGUCCGGAUCGCAGUCUGCAACUCGACUGCGUGAAGUCAGAAUCUGCUUAGUAAUGCGCAGAUCGGCAUGUCGCAGUGAGGCCGUUCCCCAGGUCUUGUACACACCGCCCGUCACACCAUGGGAGUGGGUUUUCAAGAAAGCAGUUAAGCUAACCGUAAGGAGGGCGAUUACCACGGUAAGUUCAUGACUGGGGUGAAGUCAUACCAGGUAA